GAGCAGGGCAACGCGCCACCAGUCCGGCUUGCCGCGCGGAAAAGAAGGCUGCCCCAGGCAGGGAGAGUUGCUUGCAAAGUCCUCGGAAAUCCAGGGACUUGGAUAAAGGCAGCAUGUUGUAGCAUGCCGCUACGGAUUGCAUGCAACAGGGAUGAACAUGGCUGAAAACAAGGCACUCUUGUCAGGUCACACAAAGAAUUGUGUGUUGAGCCAAUUGUCAGGAGAUGAUGUGUGACUAGCUGUGGCUUUUUCUGUUGCAGAUAAUGCUGGAAAGAGAAGAAGAGGAUGAUCAAUACAAGGUGGAUGGACUCCAU